UAAGAUAAAUUCUUAGGAUAAAUUCUUCAUC
rnacentral:piRNA from 2 species